AAUGUCUGGGGAUCUGCCUGAUGGAGGGGGAUAACUACUGGAAACGGUAGCUAAUACCGCAUAACGUCGCAAGACCAAAGAGGGGGACCUUCGGGCCUCUUGCCAUCGGAUGAACCCAGAUGGGAUUAGCUUGUUGGUGAGGUAACAGCUCACCAAGGCGACGAUCCCUAGCUGGUCUGAGAGGAUGACCAGCCACACUGGAACUGAGACACGGUCCAGACUCCUACGGGAGGCAGCAGUGGGGAAUAUUGCACAAUGGGCGCAAGCCUGAUGCAGCCAUGCCGCGUGUAUGAAGAAGGCCUUCGGGUUGUAAAGUACUUUCAGCGGGGAGGAAGGCGUGAAACCUAAUACGUUUCGCGAUUGACGUUACCCGCAGAAGAAGCACCGGCUAACUCCGUGCCAGCAGCCGCGGUAAUACGGAGGGUGCAAGCGUUAAUCGGAAUUACU
rnacentral:rRNA from 1 species